UAAGCGCCGGUAAGGUGAUAUGAACCGUUAUAACCGGCGAUACCCGAAUGGGGAAACCCAGUGUGACUCGUCACACUAUCAUUAACUGAAUCCAUAGGUUAAUGAGGCGAACCGGGGGAACUGAAACAUCUAAGUACCCCGAGGAAAAGAAAUCAACCGAGAUUCCCCCAGUAGCGGCGAGCGAACGGGGAGGAGCCCAGAGCCUGAAUCAGCAUGUGUGUUAGUGGAAGCGUCUGGAAAGGCGCGCGAUACAGGGUGACAGCCCCGUACACAAAAGCGCAUGUGCUGUGAGCUCGAUGAGUAGGGCGGGACACGUGGUAUCCUGUCUGAAUAUGGGGGGACCAUCCUCCAAGGCUAAAUACUCCUGACUGACCGAUAGUGAACCAGUACCGUGAGGGAAAGGCGAAAAGAACCCCGGCGAGGGGAGUGAAAAAGAACCUGAAACCGUGUACGUACAAGCAGUGGGAGCACCCUUUGGGUGUGACUGCGUACCUUUUGUAUAAUGGGUCAGCGACUUAUAUUCUGUAGCAAGGUUAACCGAAUAGGGGAGCCGGAGGGAAACCGAGUCUUAAUUGGGCGUUAAGUUGCAGGGUAUAGACCCGAAACCCGGUGAUCUAGCCAUGGGCAGGUUGAAGGUUGGGUAACACUAACUGGAGGACCGAACCGACUAAUGUUGAAAAAUUAGCGGAUGACCUGUGGCUGGGGGUGAAAGGCCAAUCAAACCGGGAGAUAGCUGGUUCUCCCCGAAAGCUAUUUAGGUAGCGCCUCGUGAAUUCAUCUCCGGGGGUAGAGCACUGUUUCGGCUAGGGGGCCAUCCCGGCUUACCAACCCGAUGCAAACUGCGAAUACCGGAGAAUGUUAUCACGGGAGACACACGGCGGGUGCUAACGUCCGUCGUGAAGAGGGAAACAACCCAGACCGCCAGCUAAGGUCCCAAAGUCAUGGUUAAGUGGGAAACGAUGUGGGAAGGCCCAGACAGCCAGGAUGUUGGCUUAGAAGCAGCCAUCAUUUAAAGAAAGCGUAAUAGCUCACUGGUCGAGUCGGCCUGCGCGGAAGAUGUAACGGGGCUAAACCAUGC
rnacentral:rRNA from 1 species